rnacentral:lncRNA from 1 species
GUGUGUAGAAAGCCCUUUUGGUUAGAUUUAGGCAAGACUGUGACGUCACUAGCGAUAAUUAAGAAGCUAGUAUUGAUUUGGCCGCUUGGAGGCGCUGUUAGGCGUGCUGCUAAUUUCCAUGUUUCGGAAAGGUUAUGUUAACCGGAGAUGCCAUUGAUAUUUGUCUAAUUUCGAUACAAGCCCAAUGAUAUUGAACCUGCAUUGUUUGCACGGUAUCUUCAUGGUUUGUCAAGUUCUGUCGUCGAUGGUGUCGAGGUGUUUUGGAAGUCACA